rnacentral:tRNA from 1 species
AGGGGAAUCAUACAAUGGCUAGUAUCACGGUCUCCAAAACCGUUCAUGGGAGUUCGAAUCUCUCUUCCCCUGCUA